GAAAGGCAAAAACCAUCUAGAAUCAUGUUGCAGUGAAAUUCGUGCUAAUCUUUAAAUCCUGAUUCGCUCUUUAUGUUCUGGCCUAGCUCCAUUGACCAGAUGAUUUAAAGUAUCUGCCACGACUGCCCCUUCCUGAAAAAAGUGGCUGGAGUGUUUUCAUACACACAAUCACCAUGCUUUUAUCAACCAGAUCAUAACGGAAUGGACUACACAAUUUGAAGAAUACAGACCUAUUCGUGGAGGUCAAGCAGCCAUUUUUCUCAAAAAGGACUUUGACCAGUAGCAUACGCCUUCAAAGGACAAAAUUUCUUGUGUGUAAGCAUUUUCUAAGCACCAGAAAAAUACUUACUGCCAUUUAUACAGGCCAACACCAAAGCCAGGAGCCUGGCUACUUGUUGCAGUUUCCCCAAGUACAGAGCAAAGCAUCUAGUCCAAUGCCUGGCGUAACGUGGGUGUGCAGUCAAGAAGACAGCUCUGGCUGCUAAGGAGAUUGCUCUUGGCAUUGUUCUAUGCCUUGAUCAUCCUUAAGGGCAGGCCAGCUUCUACGGAUUGGCAUCUGUCUCAAAAAGGAAUCACCUAGAACAUUAUAGAAGUCACCAGAAUGGGGAAGGGAAAGCUAGAAGGACUC
rnacentral:lncRNA from 1 species